rnacentral:rRNA from 1 species
GCGAAUACCGGAGAAUGUUAUCACGGGAGACACACGGCGGGUGCUAACGUCCGUCGUGAAGAGGGAAACAACCCAGACCGCCAGCUAAGGUCCCAAAGUCAUGGUUAAGUGGGAAACGAUGUGGGAAGGCCCAGACAGCCAGGAUGUUGGCUUAGAAGCAGCCAUCAUUUAAAGAAAGCGUAAUAGCUCACUGGUCGAGUCGGCCUGCGCGGAAGAUGUAACGGGGCUAAACCAUGCACCGAAGCUGCG